rnacentral:lncRNA from 1 species
GGAAAAAUGUUGGAAACCUGUUUUGAAACUAUUUGCUUGGAAGAACUGUCUCAGGAGGUAUACUUUGGACAGUAUAAAAAAGGAGAACUAUUCAAAACAAAAUACACAAUCACAUGUAUAUAUAUAAGUUAGAGUAUAUAAAAAGAAACUUGACACUCUGGGUAGAAAGUGAAGGGUUUUCAAACUAUUUCCAACCAUAAGUCUAUGAAACACAAGCAAAAUUUAAUUAUAAUGCAUCAUGCUACAAAAUACCUAAAUAACAGCUAAUCUGCUUCCACUAUAUUAAAAAUAAAUGGGGUCAAUGCCUCCAUAGGGACACAGAUGAUGACCCUGCUAGCAUAUGACGUUAUAAAGGGACAUAACUCAAGAACUGCAAAAGUGAAGCU